UAUCUCAAUUGACAGUAUAUUAUUCAGUAGAGACUAUAAUCCAAACUCUGAAGUUGAAGACAAAAUUUUAAGAAAGUAGCUUUUUAAAAACAAAAUUCUAAAAUUGAACAGACACAAUGCUUAAGACGACAACACAAGAGAACAGAACACAAUGCCACCAUAUAUCACCAAAGAUGUAAAAAUCAAAACUUGCAUCUUUCUAAUGAAAGGGUAAAUCGAAAUUGGAGCACAGAUAAACCAAAAUCGAUGGAGAGAACGAAUGAAGCAUGGAGGGAUAGAGUGAGGAAAAAAGGAUACUGAAGAGGUAUCGUUCCCACCAAUCAAGCAUGUAGAGCCCGAAUGUGACAUUAUAAAGGUAGAUUUUGCGUUGAACCCAGUUCAUAU